rnacentral:lncRNA from 1 species
UUGAGAGCCCUGAAACCUGAGUCCCAUGCAGGGCCGAAUCGAUCCAACGUAACUUUUUAACUGUUGAUGGGCAAAUACAUUUUUUACCUUGGCUAUUUUAUAUUUUCUUUCUAAACGAGGAAAAAUGAAUUACCACUGUGUUUUUUAAUAUAUAUUUCUUGAAUGCAACAGUUGGACCUUUUAAAUUUGUUUGACAAUUUCCAUCUAUUUUUUUGCGGGGAAGGAAAAGGAGGAGAGAACACCAUCAUUACGUGUGCUGGAACAAAGCUUCCAACGCAUCAUCUUGGGCGCUCGGUACAAUAAGGGAGAAGGCUAAUCUCCCAUCCCAUCAACCCUUCCCAUGAAUGAAGCUCCGCAGCUGGCUAGAAAGAAAGUUAUUUAUAUUCAAUAAAUUCUUUUCAAAAAUAUGGUGGCGAUGCUACCCUCUAUGUGCAAAAGUAGAGUAAGGUGCAAUUUGAUCAAGUCCCAUUAGCUACCAUUUGAUAAUUUUGUGAUAUUUUAUGGAACAAAAAGCUAUGUGGAACAUCGGAAACAGAAAAAGCCACUUUUCCCAUGGCUGAAUUGUGGUAAUUUUUUUCCAUAAAAAUACCUUUAAAUCAUCACAAUCUUCUUAGUAGCUAUUUUUAAUUGUUAAUCUUAAACUAUUAAAAUAUAUUAUUAAAAAUUAGCAUAAUAUAAAGAAGUUAUCUAACUAUUAACUAAAAAACUCAACCCAAUAAUAUUUUUAAUAGCUAUUUUAAAAUAUUUAGAAAUAUUAAUGAAUAUUUUUAUAUUUAAAAAUA